CCUACGGGGGGCAGCAGUGAGGAAUAUUGGUCAAUGGCCGUAAGGCUGAACCAGCCAAGUCGCGUGAAGGAAGAAGGAUCUAUGGUUUGUAAACUUCUUUUAUAAAGGAAUAAAACGAGGCACGUGUGCCUUUUUGCAUGUACUUUAUGCAUAAGGAUCGGCUAACUCCGUGCCAGCAGCCGCGGUAAUACGGAGGAUCCGAGCGUUAUCCGGAUUUAUUGGGUUUAAAGGGAGCGUAGAUGGGUUGUUAAGUCAGUUGUGAAAGUUUGCGGAGCAACCGUAAAAUUGCAAUUGAUACUGGCAGUCUUGUGUACAGUUGUGGUAGGCGGAAUUCGUGGUGUAGCGGUGAAAUGCUUAGAUAUCACGAAGAACCCCGAUUGCGAAGGCAGCUUACUAAACUGUGACUGACAUUGAUGCUCGAAAGUGUGGGUAUCAAACAGGAUUAGAUACCCGGGUAGUC
rnacentral:rRNA from 1 species